rnacentral:lncRNA from 1 species
AUGUUGAGGUUGUAUGGCAUCCUUGAAGACGCUACUGGUGGAAUUAAUCACUUCUCCAUAUACCAGAGCACUGACAUCCUGAGUUUGUUACAUCAAAGGAUAUUGACUGAGAAGACAAAUAAUCAAAUGACCCGUAACGCAGGGAAUGAAAGAAUACUCAGGAAAAACAGAAAUUACCUGCAGGAGAUUUACAGCUGUUCAGGGUGCAAGAUGACCUCCUCUUACUGAACACCAUAAAAUGUAAGAAGAAUAAUAACUUGGAAUUGUGGAUAAUAAUAGAACAGAGAACAGAAUUUCAAUCUGGUAUGACUGCAGGUCAUUAUUAAAAGGACUUCUGCUUUACUGUGUAAAUGUAGUUGCUUAUUUUCUUUUCAUAAAGCUGCUCCUCGCUUAGCAUGCAUGAUACAGGCCAACGAAAACAUGGAUUUCUCACUUGUUGAGAAUAUGCAUAAAGAUUUUUUCAUUCCGUAGUUAAUUACUAUGCAUAACAUUUUGAAUACACUUUCUGUGCUGGGAGGUCAGUCAAUAUAUUUUACAUUAGUAAACAGAUUGGAAAACUCACUGUAGUUUAGAAUGUAUGCAGAAACAUGGACUGUAAUUCAGAGCAAGAACUGGAAGUUUUUGUUUGAUUUGGAUCUUCUAUGGCACAUGAAUUAUUCAGUGCUCUUGUGUCAAUGCUGAAUAUUUUUUUUUCCUGGAUAUAUCUCACUAACAACAUGAGUUGUUUGGCAUGAGAACAUUAGAUGAUGAACAGCAUCCGUGCUCUGUAGAUUGAAUGGCUUCAAACAAGAGUUUCAAAUGAACAGUUGAAUUAUCAAAAGACUAAAUAAUCUCCAUUUGCUGUUAUUUUUAAGUAAGAAGUGCCAGAAUCUGCGUCCUCAUCAGGAUCUUCUGCUCCAGAACAUCCUAUAAAGAUCUCAUGAAAUAGCAAACAUCUAACAGAGUGUUUUUCUUAGAAAACCUGUUCAUAUAUAAAGUGAGAACUCAGGUCGUGUUGUCCUCAAUCCCUUCAGUAGCAGGGAAAAAUAUUGUGAGAAACAGGAAAAGCCACCUGAGCAACA